GGUAAAUAUGCACUGCUGUUGUAUGGUCUCCUUCUCCUUCUCCCAUCUCUACCUGAGCCAUCACCGACACCCACGGUGACUGCCCAGCACUAAGUCUCUGUUGCUCAGCCAUCCAUCCAUCCAGGCCCAGCCCCUCCACCCUCACCCACCCUCCCACAUGGGUGACAUUCUUCAGAGGUGUCUGAGCCAGAGUUAGAGGCUACUACUGGGCCACAGGGAGCAGCCAUGGAGUUCAAGUUCAACAUCAUGUAACAUGUAUUUUAUGUACCAAAUAUGUGAAGAGGUGGUGUUGGGGCUCUAUAGUCAUCCUGCUGCUGAGCCCUCCUCAAGCCACCUACACCAACUGGACCUCACCCACAGCCUGUUAUUCUUUCCACUGGGAAGGUGACUAACUGUUAGAAGAGCAGGGAGGAGGGUCUGUCUUAGCCUA